CAGAAUUACAAACACAUUGUUGCAGCAGUCUUUCAGCGAUCAUUGUUUUUCAGUGCUCAGAUUAAUUUGGCUUAGCAUAACAGUACUUCGUAAGCACAGCACUUCUGGCUACUGUUUUACAUGCCACGUCUUCGUUUUUCGCCUUCUCGGAAUAGAGCUUUAGAGUGUGGGAGUGAAAAAUAUAAAGGCCAUAUUGGUGUUGAACAAUGGAUUCCUAUCCUAUCCCCCUCAAUUUGCCUGGAGUUCUAGCAAUGACGUCUUCCAUAGAAUAACCUUGGCAAUUUGGAGAAGUAGAAAAUCCUAUGUGUAUUUUCAUCUUGCCAGCUCAGUAGAGCACCAACUUCCACGACGAGCAAUUGUUAUUUCGACGAGAGGAACUUCACGCGUGAAGCAUUAUCGCCAAUGAAAUGAGAUGGCCGCCAAGAAGUUGUCAAAGAUAACCAGACCGGCAACCACCUUUCCAUCUCCUUGCUAUUCGGACCGACCUCGUCCUGUUUCGGACAUGUGGAAUACACUUUUACUGAAGAAUGAGGAAAGACUAAUCGACGAAGAAAGCGAAAUGGUGUGGUACUUCAAUGCCGUUAACGAAUUGUGAUGCAGUCUGCCAGAGAAAAAGUUGUACUAAACGUCAAAGGAUUUGCACUCAAACUGAAAAUGUUUUCUUCAUAAACAAGGGUGUAUUGAGAAAUGUCUUGUUCCUCCAAAGUGGUCCAUUUGAUUAUGCAGAACUUGUGUACCAGUACAAGUGGCGAGCACCAUAACAUAUGGC